AUUUUCUUUUCUACUUCUAAGAGUUUUUAUUGGGAAUUAUCUGCUGAAUGUUAUCUGAAACAGCCAAUAAAAUGCAUUGCCGGCUGCAUGCAAGGUCCUAAGUUGGGACUAUGGAAGAGUCAAAGGACUAGGCAGAGUUUCUGUCCUCAAAAAGUUACCAUCUCACUUAAAAGAGAAGGAAUAAAGCUUUGGAGAGAGUGGUCAUUGUGAUGAAUAAUCAUGAUGUUUUUUCUUCCAAAAUAGAAUUGGCAGAGGAAGGUACAUAAAAGAGGACGCUCCAGUGGCUUUUACUCACAAUUUCAUAACAAGAAAUCUUCAUCUGACCACGACAUUGAGGAUCUAGGUUUCUGGGGAAGGCGGCCUCUGUGGCUGAAGGAUAUGUAUGGUGGCCAGAAACAAGAAGGGGGAGCCUACUGCUGAGGAGGGAGCAGAGGAAAUCCUCCCCUUCCUCAAUGAGGACUGAUGCCUGGGACUCUGCAGCUGAGACUGGAGGGGAAAGUACUUCAC